AAAACAGGUACUGAGUAUAAAACAAUAUAAAACAACAUGAAAGGGUCUCUCUCUUCCCGCACCUUGAUCUCCCCAAAUUUGGUUGAUAUCUAAGGUUUUUUUUUUUUUUGCUGUACAACUCCUUUUCUGGAGUUUUACUCACUUUCAACAAGGAAGGUGAGUUUUCCUGCUUCCAUGAUGAUGGAGGGCAGGCAACUCCUUUCUGGAGUUUCAGCUCAAUUCCAACAGGGAAGAUGAGUUGGAGUUUUUUUCCUGCUUAUAGGCUGGUAGACAGCAGUGUUGAGCCUGUACUCCAUUCCUAGAUGCGAUUCCUCCCGUGAUCUCAGUGAUUGUAUCGGGCGAAAACGAGGAGGGCAAAAUACCGUCCAAAUGUAAACAAGGAGCAGCCGCACCAGCAGCACCAGCAGAAUGCCGCGGUAGUGCGGCAGGCCCUGGCCCCAUGGACAAAGAGAAGCUCGACAGUGGCAGUGGCCACGAACUCAGAAAGCCUGAGGACAGUCAGCAGCUCCUCUGGCUGUUCACUUUCACACUGGUGCAACUACAGAAGCUGAAGAACAUUUUUCAACUCGUUCCAUACCCGGACGUGUUAG
rnacentral:antisense_RNA from 1 species